ACGGAGGUGGCAAGCGUUACUCGGAAUUAUUGGGUGUAAAGGGCAGGUAGGCGGCUAGGUAAGUGAGGGGUGAAAUCCCACGGUUCAAUCGUGGAACAGCCUUUCAAACUGCCUGGCUUGAGUGUGACAGGGGAAGAUGGAAUUCUCGGUGUGAAGGUGAAAGGUGUAGUGAUGGGGAGGAACUCCGACGGAGAAGGCAAUCUACUGGGUGACUACUGUCGCUGUGCUGCUUAUGCUAGUGGAGCAAACAG
rnacentral:rRNA from 1 species